GCGGCGUCGGACAGGGGUGCGGCGGGAAGGUGGCGACGGACAGGGGAGCGGCGGCUUUGCGGGAAGAGCAGAAGGGAGAAGCAGCAAGCCCGCGCUAGGAAGGUUGCAACUCAUCGGCUAGCGCCCCUGCUCCUCUGGCUGCUCCUCCAGCCUGCCCGAGUGCAGCGUGCUGCUCCUCCAGCCGCCCGUGUUCUCCCUCUCUACGUAUGACGGCGAGACUGGCCUCUGAGGUAACCCUCCCUCCCUCCUUCCCGUCUCCUCUCAUUCGGUCACCUUAUUCGUGGGCACCUCGACACAUAGGCCGUGGAAUGUAGGGAGUAGGGUGAUCUGAGAGAGAUGAGCUUCAAGCUUGUAACAAUUUCAGAGCGUACCACCUCAUGCCAUGUUCAUUUGUUUCAUGUUUGGGAUUUGUUGGCACCAGGUAAUUGAUCACGAUGGGAUUUGAGUAAAACAUUUGUCUGUCACUCUAAUUCGUAUUGUGGUUUGUCCCAUAUCCCUGUCAAUCCCUGUACACUUCAUUGAAGUUCGGUUAGUCAGGGAUUGAACAGAAUUCGUACAUGAAUACUGUUCAAAUGUUGCACUAAGUAAACAUUCAUCUUUGGAUUCAAUUUGUACAGGGAAAGCUUUAUAUAUCCAGGGAAUGUAGGUUAGGCAUCUCACUGAGUGAUCAUUCAUCUCUAAGUAUUUACAGGGAAUAUUUGAUACAAAUAUGCAGCGAAUUUAAUGUAAACAAGGCACAUCCACUCUUUGAGAUAUUAUAGUUGAAGUUCCCAAAAUACUCAAGAGCUCAGUACUGUAAAUAUUCAGAGAAACAAUUUUUUUAAUAUAAUCCCUUAUUGGCAUAUCCAUUGCGAAGCUAAUAACGUUAAAGUUCUAGUUUAAGUAUAUAGAGUACGUGUAUAUAUGGGAGUAAGUCAACACAAGUGAGCGUAAUCAGACUAACGACCCUAAUUUGCAACAUAAAUAGGAACACGUAUAUCAAUUACACUUCUAAGGUAAUAACGGAUUUAUGUCCAGGAAUGGAUCACAUCAAUUGUAAGCAUAAGGCAAAGAUUAUAUGCUUACAAAAAGUAUGUAAAAUAGUUUUUACAAAAUAUAACAGAAGUCUGCUGAACUAAAGGACGACUUUGAGAAUCUAUAUCAUGUAGUACUCUGAAUCCAGUGUUGAUUUUUUUAUCCAAAUCGGAAUAAGAAGGACAAGAUGAGAGAUGAUUACAUGAACGCCAUUCUCUUGUGUAAUGGGUGGUUCAUGCGCUAGCUAAGUGCCGACGACUGUGUGGUGCUGAUCUCCCUUGUUCGUUUCUUCCUUUUCAGUUUAGUGCAGCUAGCAAUUGAUUUUUUGAUUUCAUUCCUUCAUGUGGGGCUAGUUCCAUGUCGGCUUUUCGUGAUUUGGAGUUCAAAUGCAACAUGAAGCUUAGCAUAGUGCAUUCCAUUUGAAUUCUAGUCUUGCAGCGUGUUCUGUUUCUUUGUGGAUACAUGAUAAUUGAUGGCACCCGAACCUUGUUCUUUGAGGUACAGAAGAAAAAUGUUGCGUCAGUUCGAUCACAUACCACUAAUAACCAUAGUGGUUGCUUUCAGUUAUUUGAGCCAUUCCUGUAUGAAUGGCUCCAUUGCUAUUGUUUGGUUCCUUUACUAGCUAGGAGUUGUGGAUCUUUUCAUUUUGGUGAACAUUGAAUUCGCAUGCUAUUUUUUUAAGAUGGAUCCUUGUUAUUUGUGUAAGAGAGGCUCGGUGUAGUUAUCAAAUGAUGGUUGUGCUAAUAAGACUUUGUUUGUGUAGAUUUCUGAAUUUCUCUAGUCUAAUUUACACUGGUAAAAAGGCAGAGGGUGAACCUUUUGUAUUUGCCAAUCAAGUUGACCAAAUGUCCAAGUGUUCUACGCAGAUGACUAUGUUUAUCCAGGAUGGUCAAUUGUUUUAAAGAUGAAGCCUUGAGAUAAUAUUGAUAUGGGUUAAGAAUGGAAUGAUGUGGAAACAGAACCUUAUCAUGUUAGCAAAAUGAUGGCCAAAGGGCUAUUAUACCUAUACGAGUAAAAAGGGGGAGCCACGAAGCCGCGUCCCAGGUACCCCUCGCGUCGCCUCCCCUCGGGCGACGCCAGGGGCCCCAAAACCCUAGCCGCUAAAGAGUUUCUCCCCUUCCCCGUCCGCCGCUGCCGCCGGUGAGGGCCGCGGUGGCGGCGGGUCCUGUGCCUUAGUGCCAGGGCGGGCGGUAGCCGCGUAGUCCCAGUGAGGCGGAGGGGCCGUCGCGCGCGUGGAUGACGUGUGCGGCAGUCAGGGCGGCAUCCCUGCUGCACGGCGGCGUUCGUGGCCCUCAUGGCCAGCCGUGGUCGGAGGUUGGAUGGUGGGGGUGCAGCGCUCCAUCCAGCAAGGGCGGCGGCUGCGUGCAAGGGCUACAUCGAGGGCUGCGGAUCGUGCUACUGUAUGCGGUCUCACAAAACCAUCUCUGUGUGUGAACUUCUCCUGAAACUGCGCACAUGCAUAAAUGUGGAUCAACUGUUCCACAGCAGACAUACUCGACAACCCCCUCCUAUUUUUUAUGGUUUCGUGCAAUUUUUUCCAUUCCCUCCAUUCUCUCAAGCCAAUUGCGGCUAAUCUGGUUGGAAAAACUUAAGUACGCACGCUUCAUUACCAAAUAGUUUUUUUAAAAGGACAUAGACUAAACAUCAGAUCUCGCGAGGAGGUAACCGCGCCACCAAAAUCAGAAACCUCUCCCAUAUCAACACAGUUCCCUUCCUAAUCUCGUACUGGGUUCAUCGCAUGCCCGACGGCCGGUGGCGGAGGCAGCACCACGAUCUGAGCAAGGUUAGUUCCCGACGUACUCUCCCAUAACACAUCCUCUCUCGCUCCCUACUUUAUUGAUCUAUGCUCUUAAUCAAUUAACAUCUCCCUGCCACGCAAAUCCGUCUCGUAGGUCGUGGCAACAAUCCUGAGAAUUCAUCUAGUCUGUACCGUGCUCCUUAUCCAAUCUCAUUGCCACAAUUCAUCCCUCCGUAUUGGUUGUCAGCUAUUUUUUCACACACCAAUCGAUAUACACACAGAUCGCGAUUCUAGUUUAAUCUAACAUUGAUUUAUAUGUUCGGCUUACUCAUCGCAAAAGCUACCUUUGUUUAUUAUUGAGAUAUCUUAUGCUUUGCGCUGGGAUUGCCCCUUCCCAUGGAUCCUAUCCAAAUUCUUAUCUUUGGUGUCUCUCCCGGAUUGAAUUGUAAUUUUUCGAAUCUGGGUGUGCUAUAUGCUGUAUAGCAUGUUUCGCUGUCUUAGGGAAGGGGAAUUAGAGGUGGGAGUUUACUACAGGGUUGGGCUUGGGAAAGAGACUUUGACUUGUACACUAUAAGAUUUGAUUUGACUACUUGUGAGAAUCGAGAGGGAGUGUGGGCACAUUAGACAUGAAAAAGCAUUAGUCUGUUGUUGCACAUAAAAUUUAGACUAAUUAAAUACGGCAGCCCUGAUCGUGUUUAAGCAUAUUCAUACAAUUAGCACAAAACACACACUCACCUGAUUUUAAAUCUCAUAUGACUGGAUUCAUGUUUGGCAUCUGGGUUGAUCUAAAGGGAAAAGUUACAAGAAUUAGAAUUCGUAGGCACAAUCAAAUAAGAUGGAUGCGAAUUAAAAUAAUAAACUAGCCCAUUAGAUGGUACUAAUCGUGGUAAGAGGUUACUUGAGCUAUAUAAUUAUAUGCAUAUUCAGCUAGGACAGUGAUCAGUAGUGAUGAGAAAUCUAUGAAUAGAUUAAAUGAUUGGAGGGUGUGGUGAGCACAUUAAUAUCUCAUGGUUUGAGCUAUAAAUUCCAAAUGUGGGCAGUCUUGUUUACACCUGUUGUCUAUUGUUCUUGCGGUUAUGAGUAUCAUUUGAUUGGUUUCAGUGUAGGAGUACGGUAGUCAAGAUGUCAGUUAGUGAACUCGCUCUUCAGUAGCACAGGCUAGUAAGUGAAUUAGCAACCACUAAAACCAAAUAGAUCCGAUGCAAAUUACAUUUCAGAGUAAUGGUUUCAUAUCUUCGUUCAAUGUUUCACUAUUAAAAACAAAUUAUUUAGCGAACUCACCCUUCACUAACACAAACCAACUCCUACUCAUUACGGAGUUGCUACAUUUAUUCAGUGAGGAUUAAGGAAGAAACAUUUUCAGGCUUAUUCAGUUGAUUGUAGCGACAAUAUUUACUCCAAUACGUGAUUGUUUCAGCUAAAAUCUGAAGUAGUCAUGUUCACAUCUGAGGAGAUGGCUAUCAUAAGGUCAAGUGCCACCAUAUAGUCUCGAUCUCUGAAGAUAUCAGUAUGGUCAGUCUUAAUCAGUACCACCAGCUCCUAUUUAUGCAGUAUCUAAUCCUUUGAGCUAUAUUGCAAUUGUGGAUAAUCUUGUUACACCUUUUGUCUAUUGUUCUAGUGGUUGUGAGUAUCAUUUGAUUAUACCUACUCUGUCCUAAAUUAACGUUGGCCAUUGUCACGUUCCAGCAGAUUUGUCACGGACAAGAAUCAGCGUUGUUGAAUCCAAUGAACAAUAUAUGAUGGAAGAACCAAUCGAACAUCAUAAUUCUGCUGAAAAAGAUGUCAAAUCAUAUAAUGUCCAUGAAAGAACUACUAAUGACAAAUAAAUAUUCACAUAUUGUGUGAUGUUGAUGCGGAUGAAAAUGAAGAUGGUAAGUUUAUUGCUCAUUACUUACUGUUUGCAAUUAAAUAUAUAAUACCCAAAACUUGAUGUAUAUCAUGUUAUCCUAGAACAAAGAACUAUGGUUCAUAAUGGUGGUAGUGUUUCCAUGUUUAUAUGUUUAGUUGUUGCUAUCAAAAUGUUGUCCAGAAACAAGAAACUUUUGAUCAGAAUUUCAGUGCAUGGCAAUGGGAAAUAUAUUUUCAUGCAUAUAAGGUAUAUUGCCAUUACCAUAUACAAUAUGUUCCAAAUAUCUUGCUCUGAUGGUCGUCUUGCUACCAUAAUGUUGUUCAGAACAAAGAAACUUUGCUUCAGAAUGUCGGCACACGAUAGGGAGAACCAAAGUAUGGUGCAAACAAGUUGGUAUUUUUCAUAAUCACAUACAAAAUUAUGUUCAAACUAUAGUGCUAGCUUCUUUAUUUGUUUAUUACGUCUUCUUUACUAUCACAAUGUUGUCCAGACCAAAACAACAACAAAAGGUCUGAUGUAGACAGUAAGGGUGCAUUAAACUACCUGUAAAAGUGCUCAAAUUCAUUUCAUAUGUUGCUCUAUUUUGCCUUUGUUUUUUCAUGGGUGUUGAGGCUAGUUAUGACCAUGGUAACAUUGAGUUUCUCCAACAUGCAGAAACUGAAGUAUUAUUGAAGAGCCCGAAAAACCAUAAUAUGACGUAGUUCUUGCUACAAUUAUAUGUUCUGAUCCUAAAUUUUAAACUUGACGGUGCUGGAAUUAGGAAUUACUUUUGGGCCGUGCAUGUCGAUAUGGAGAUAAAACACGGAUUGCAUGGACUUCAACCUUUGUAUGUGACUAAACCUUGCCUCUAUUACUAGCAUUGUGUUAAUGCAUUGUAUUUUAACAGUUAUUUUUUUCGGUUUGUAGAUUCAAGAGAUAACUGGAUGAGUAUGCACGUGUGUGGCAAGUACACUUCAAUCAUGAUGUUGAUGUUCUGGUUCAUGAUGAUGAUGGAUGCUUUCAUUUUUAGUUGUAGGGAUGUUGACGUUCAUGUUAGAUGUUGUUCCUUGAUCUACUAGUUUUAGUGAAGUUGUAGGAAUGUUGAUGGAUGCUUAGUUUAAGUUUCUUUGUCAAGAUAAUGGGUAGAUUAUGCAUCACAUCUGGAUGAUGUUUCUCCUGUAAUAUCCACUAUUGUAAUCCAACAUUUUUAUCUAAUAUAUCCUUUUUCCUCUUAUG
rnacentral:lncRNA from 1 species